CAUAAUAAUUAGUUUUUUAAUUGAAAGCUUGGAUGAAUGGUUGGACAAAGAAAUACCUGUCUUUAAAAUUAUUAUAGAAUUUAACUUUUAAGUGAAAAGGCUUAAAUUUUUUAGAGGGACGAUAAGACCCUAUAAAAGUUUAUAUAUUGAUUAUUAAAUUUAAAUUAUUUAUAUUAAUUACAUUAAUUAAUUAUAUUUUAUUGGGGCGAUAGAUAAAUAAUUUUUAUUAACUGUUUAUAUUUAAAUACAAUUAUAAAUGAAAAUAUUAAUGAUCCUUAAAUAAAGAUUAAAAGAUUAAGUUACUUUAGGGAUAACAGCGUAAUUCUUUUUGAAAGUUCUUAUUAAAAAAAGAGUUUGCGACCUCGAUGUUGAAUUAAAAUAUCUAUUAGGCGCAGAAGUCUAAUAAG
rnacentral:rRNA from 1 species